rnacentral:rRNA from 1 species
CCUAGCCGUAAACGAUGGGUACUAGGCAAUGGGCCCUCCUAUGAGGUUCAUUGCCGGAGCUAAUGUGUUAAGUACCCCGCCUGGGGAGUACGCUCGCAAGGGUAAAACUCAAAGGAAUUGACGGGGGAUCACACAAGCGGUGGAGCAUGUUGUUUAAUUCGAAGCAACGCGAAGAACCUUACCAGGCCUUGACAUGUGCGGAUUAGCUGCUUGAAAGAGUAGUGACGGCUCUU